rnacentral:rRNA from 1 species
GACGAACGCUGGCGGCGUGCUUAACACAUGCCAGUCGAACGGAAAGGCCAUGCUUUUGUGGGGUGCUCGAGUGGCGAACGGGUGAGUAACACGUGAGUAACCUGCCCUUGACUUUGGGAUAACUUCAGGAAACUGGGGCUAAUACCGGAUAGGAGCUCCUGCUGCAUGGUGGGGGUUGGAAAGUUUCGGCGGUUGGGGAUGGACUCGCGGCUUAUCAGCUUGUUGGUGGGGUAGUGGCUUACCAAGGCUUUGACGGGUAGCCGGCCUGAGAGGGUGACCGGCCACAUUGGGACUGAGAUACGGCCCAGACUCCUACGGGAGGCAGCAGUGGGGAAUAUUGCACAAUGGGCGGAAGCCUGAUGCAGCAACGCCGCGUGCGGGAUGACGGCCUUCGGGUUGUAAACCGCUUUCGCCUGUGACGAAGCGUGAGUGACGGUAAUGGGUAAAGAAGCACCGGCUAACUACGUG